rnacentral:rRNA from 1 species
UACAGAGGGUGCAAGCGUUGUUCGGAAUUAUUGGGCGUAAAGCGCGUGUAGGCGGCUUUGCAAGUCGGAUGUGAAAGCCCUCGGCUCAACCGAGGAAGUGCGUUCGAAACUGCAGAGCUUGAGUACCGGAGAGGGUGGCGGAAUUCCCCAAGUAGAGGUGAAAUUCGUAGAUAUUCGCAAGAACACCAGUGGCGAAGGCGGUCUGCUGGGCGGUGGGAGCCGCAAGGUUCCUUAUAGCCGACACUGAGGCGCGACAGCGUGGGGAGCAAACAGG